CGUUGAAACACCGGUCCUCAUAAGAUCUCAGAAAUUAAGCUACGUUGGACCUAAUUAGUACUUAGAUGGGUGACCGCUUGGGAAUACCAUGUUCUGUAAG